CGGACGGGGCCCGCACAAGCGGUGGAGCAUGUGGUUUAAUUCGACGCAACGCGAAGAACCUUACCUGGGCUUGACAUCCCGAUCGCACCUUAUGGAAACAUAGGGGUCAGUUCGGCUGGAUCGGUGACAGGUGCUGCAUGGCUGUCGUCAGCUCGUGUCGUGAGAUGUUGGGUUAAGUCCCGCAACGAGCGCAACCCUUGUCCUUAGUUGCCAGCAUUCAGUUGGGCACUCUAAGGAGACUGCCGGUGUCAAACCGGAGGAAGGUGGGGAUGACGUCAAGUCCUCAUGGCCCUUAUGUCCAGGGCUACACACGUGCUACAAUGGCCGGUACAAAGGGGCGCAAGACCGCGAGGCGGAGCAAAUCCCAAAAACCGGUCUCAGUUCGGAUUGGAGUCUGCAACUCGACUCCAUGAAGUUGGAAUCGCUAGUAAUCGCGUAUCAGCAUGACGCGGUGAAUACGUUCCCGGGCCUU
rnacentral:rRNA from 1 species